ACAGGGAUUGCCCUAGUAACGGCGAGUGAAGCGGCAACAGCUCAAAUUUGAAAUCUGGCUCUUUCAGAGUCCGAGUUGUAAUUUGCAGAGGGCGCUUUGGUGUUGGCAGCGGUCCAAGUUCCUUGGAACAGGACGUCACAGAGGGUGAGAAUCCCGUACGUGGUCGCUAGCCUUCGCCGUGUAAAGCCCCUUCGACGAGUCGAGUUGUUUGGGAAUGCAGCUCUAAAUGGGAGGUAAAUUUCUUCUAAAGCUAAAUACUGGCCAGAGACCGAUAGCGCACAAGUAGAGUGAUCGAAAGAUGAAAAGCACUUUGGAAAGAGAGUCAAAUAGCACGUGAAAUUGUUGAAAGGGAAGCGCUUGCAGCCAGACUUGCCUGUAGUUGCUUAUCCGGACUUUUGUCCGGUGCACUCUUCUGCGGGCAGGCCAGCAUCAGUUUGGGCGGUUGGAUAAAGGUCUCUGUCAUGUACCUCUCUUCGGGGAGAACUUAUAGGGGAGACGACAUGCAACCAGCCUGGACUGAGGUCCGCGCAUCUGCUAGGAUGCUGGCGUAAUGGCUGUAAGCGGCCCGUCUUGAAACACGGACCAAGGAGUCUAACAUCUAUGCGAGUGUUUGGGUGUCAAGCCCAGACGCGUAAUGAAAGUGAACGGAGGUGGGAACCCUUUGGGUGCACCAUCGACCGAUCCUGAUGUCUUCGGAUGGAUUUGAGUAAGAGCAUGGCUGUUGGGACCCGAAAGAUGGUGAACUAUGCUUGAAUAGGGUGAAGCCAGAGGAAACUCUGGUGGAGGCUCGCAGCGGUUCUGACGUGCAAAUCGAUCGUCAAAUUUGGGCAUAGGGGCGAAAGACUA
rnacentral:rRNA from 1 species